rnacentral:lncRNA from 1 species
AAUCAGCACCUACAACCCAACUUCCUGUUGUUCAAACUCCUGUUGUUCAAUCUCCUAUUCUCCCAGAUGUUUUGGUGCCAACUGAAGAUAUUGUAGAUGACUGGGACAAUAAUCCAGCAGAAGAGACCAAAGUUCCUGAUGUUGAAGUUUUUCAGGAUGACAGUAAAUGCCAUGAGGUUUGUGACAUACCUUCUGAAGUUGCAGUUGAAGAAGAAAGUAUAGUUCUAACAGAUACUGUAGGCUGUAAUUUAG